UGCCCAUCUAGUUCCUUCAAAGAGGUAUUCCU
rnacentral:piRNA from 1 species